AAAGUACUUUGAAGAGAGAGUAAACAGUGCGUGAAACCGCUCAGAGGUAAACGGGUGGAGUUGAACUGCAAGCUCUGUGAAUUCAGCUGGUGAGCAUGGUUUGAGCUUGGUUAAAUUGGUUGAGCUUCGAGGUCUGCGUAUUAGCAGGUCUUUGCCUUCGGGUGGAGAUGCGCGGUACACCUACCAAGUGUUGUGCGCUUCGGAGUUUCGGAUCAGCUCGCCAGUGCACUUUUGCAGAGAGUUCACCACGACCGGCAUCGCUGUCUGACUGUUGUGGUUAAACCGGUCUUGCAUCGUUGUUGAAGCUUUGCUUGAUCGGGAGGGCAGGUAGCUCGUUGGUGUUCCGUGGCUUGCUGCGGUCGUCUUCGGGUGUAAUCAGCUGACUACGAUGGUUCUGUGCAGUAUGUCGGAGACGGCGGCUUGUGUGUGCGUGCGUGCCGUUCUUGUGGGCUUGCUCGUGUCUGACUGUCAUGUGCUUGCGCAAGCAGGCCUGGUAGUGGCUCGGGUUUGUCCUGUGAGUGGUUGCGUGCGUGUCACGUUGCGGGCCAAUAGUCUGUGGUGUAGUGGUAGACGAUCCACCUGACCCGUCUUGAAACACGGACCAAGGAGAGUAACAUGUGCGCGAGUCAUUGGGCGUAACGAAACCCAAAGGCGCAGUGAAAGUAAAGGCUGGAUUCAUUCCAGCUGAGGUGAGAUCCUGCCGUUUCUCAUGCACGGUACUACCAAGCAUCGAGCGGUGGGCGCAUCACCGGCCCGUCCCAUGAUGUAGACACAUAGCUUCGUGCCAGUGCACCGUCGGGGCGGAGCAUGAGCGUACAUGUUGAGACCCGAAAGAUGGUGAACUAUGCUUGCGCAGGUUGAAGCCAGAGGAAACUCUGGUGGAGGACCGCAGCGAUUCUGACGUGCAAUCGAUCGUCAAACGUGAGUAUA
rnacentral:rRNA from 1 species